GUCCACGCCGUAAACGAUGUCUACUAGCCGUUGGGGUCCUUGAGACUUUAGUGGCGCAGCUAACGCAAUAAGUAGACCGCCUGGGGAGUACGGUCGCAAGAUUAAAACUCAAAUGAAUUGACGGGGCCCGCACAAGCGGUGGAGCAUGUGGUUUAAUUCGAAGCAACGCGAAGAACCUUACCAGGUCUUGACAUCCUCGGAACUUUCUAGAGAUAGAUUGGUGCCUUCGGGAACCGAGAGACAGGUGCUGCAUGGCUGUCGU
rnacentral:rRNA from 1 species